rnacentral:rRNA from 1 species
AGCAGCCGCGGUAAUUCCAGCUCCAAUAGCGUAUAUUAAAGUUGUUGCAGUUAAAAAGCUCGUAGUUGAAUUUCGGGGUCUGCCCGUCGGUCGGGCUUCACGGUCCGUACUGGUGUGAUGGGUUCCCACCUUCUGAAUAACCGGCAUGCCAUUCAGUUGGUGCGCCGGGGAAGCAGAGCUAUUACCUUGAAAAAAUUAGAGUGCUUAAAGCAGGCUAGUGCUUGAAUAGAUUAGCAUGGAAUAAUAAAAUAGGACGGCAUGGUUCUAUUUUGUUGGUUUCUAGGAUCACCGUAAUGAUUAAUAGGGAUAGUUGGGGGCAUUAGUAUUCAAUUGUCAGAGGUGAAAUUCUUGGAUUUAUUGAAGACUAACUUCUGCGAAAGCAUUUGCCAAGGAUGUUUUCAUUAAUCAAGAACGAAAGUUAGGGGAUCGAAGACG